GGUUCCAUAGUGUAGUGGUCAUCAUGUCUGCUUUGCACGCAAAAUGUGCUGGGUUCGAACCCCAGUAGAACCA